CAAAGAAAGCAGAAGGAACACCCAUUCCUUUUCACAGCUGGCCUGGGCCCCUCCCAUCUCCCCCGAGUCCUCGGAGAUUUGUGAUUGCUCUUUCUCCUCAGUAACAGCAGCCAUCCCUUUAUUCAAGACCUGAGAGGCCACAUUAUCUUUGGAGGAGGCUGGACAGCAUGAGUCGAAGGCUCUAGAGAAGCUUCAGGGCAUGCCCACGUGGACUAGGACGGAAAAUAGUCCUUUUCAACCACAGAGAAAAGUGCAGCCUGCUCUUGCCAGUGUGGGGAGACAGAUCUUCCAGCUGGAUCACCCUUACUCCUCUUCAGGAUCGAAGGUAACAAGGAUCCCUACCCAGACACUGUGUGAAAAGGCCUGGGUUAGCCUGCAGGAACGUGAGGAGAUUGUGUAAAGCAGCAACAAACCAGCCAAGCUGAGACCACCCUAGAGCUCCCAGUCAAUCCAGCAGACUCGUGACCGAGCCUAGCCAAGACCAGAAGAACUGCCCAGCAAAGCUCAGCCCAAACUGCCGACCCACAAAAUUGUUACCUACAUAAGUAGUUACUGUUUUAACCCACAAAUUUUGCGGGCAGUUUAUUAUGCGGCAAAAGCUAUCUGAUAGAAUUGAAUCGUUAAUGGUUAUUUCUAAGACUGAUUCUAGAGAAUGAAUUUUUGGGCAAUUUGAUCCAUUUCCAAAAACCUAACAAUCAGUAUCACUGUUUUCUUCUCCCAUCUCCUUUUUUCUUUUUUCUAAGGCAGAGACCUGACUCAACGAUAGUGGGUAGACGGGAAUAAAUACAGAAAAACUUCUAUACAAGUGUAGUUAAAAUUUCACUGUAAAAAUGGCUCAAGAAAAGACUACAUAGUCUGAGAAAUGAACUUCCAGGCAAAUAUACAGAAAGAGAUUUGUGGUCAAGUUGAAAGUUUGAGAACCGUGACUUUGAAAGUACCAUGUAGCCUCUGUCCUACAGAUACAAAAGUAGGGAAUUGGAGCAGAGACCCUUAGAAAAACUUUAGGAACCCAGUAAUCUCCCCUUGCCUGCUAUGGAUUAUGGCAAGGAAAGAAAGAAAGAAUAUCUCUGUUUUUCCAAUAACAGAGUAAACAGUCUUAUGACUUGUAAAAAAAAAAUUAUUUCUGGGGCCGGCCCUGUGGCCUAGUGGUUAAGUUCAUUGUGCUCCA